rnacentral:rRNA from 1 species
AACGAACGCUGGCGGCAUGCCUAACACAUGCAAGUCGAACGGUGCCUUCGGGCACAGUGGCGCACGGGUGAGUAACACGUGGGAACCUGCCUUUCGGUUCGGAACAACGUCUGGAAACGGACGCUAACGCCGGAUACGCCCAUCCAGCGAUGGUUGGGGAAAGUUUACGCCGAGAGAGGGGCCCGCGCCGGAUUAGGUAGUUGGUGGGGUAACGGCCUACCAAGCCGACGAUCCGUAGCUGGUCUGAGAGGAUGAUCAGCCACACUGGGACUGAGACACGGCCCAGACUCCUACGGGAGGCAGCAGUGGGGAAUAUUGGACAAUGGGCGCAAGCCUGAUCCAGCAAUGCCGCGUGAGUGAUGAAGGCCUUAGGGUUGUAAAGCUCUUUCGCACGCGACGAUGAUGACGGUAGCGUGAGAAGAAGCCCCGGCUAACUUCGUG